UCUAUUGUUUUUCACAAAACUGCUUUAUUAUUAUAGGAAUCUGUAAUUAAGUAACCUCUAAAUAUUUUGCGUUGAGAGGUUAUGUUGUGUUUUAAGGAAGAUUAUUUGGUUUAAUUUAACGUGAUAUGUGUUUAUUACACCAUAUUGUAAUUUUCACACAUUUUUCCUUGAUGUCUUCGGUUCUUAUGCGAUGUAGCAAAGUAAAACCAACAAUUGCUUUUCAUCUCUAUCAUUCUGAGAUUAUCAAACAAUUUUAAAAUCCAAUCCGAAGUACAGAUUUGUCCAAUUUUCGAUUGGUUCUAUGUAUUUCUAUAACAAACAAAGGUAUUUUAAAUGGUAUGAUUAAAUACAUACAUGGUGUUAGAUUUAUAUUUGUUGGGUCACAAUGUUUAUCGGUAUAUGAAGAGAAAUCGUUUGGAGACAACAAAUUUCGUUUUUAAUAAAUGUUGAAAAAUAUUGAUCUCAAGUACAACCAAUUUGAUACAUAGAUGAUAUAUGAAUUGACAUAUGAAUAUUAAAAAACUCUUAGAUGUUAAAUUUAACUCCAUAGUUCGCUGAAUUGGAAAUUACCUCAGAUUACUUGCUUAAAAUAAUUAUAUUUUGUUGCAUUGUGAACUAUAUUUUAAAUUAAAAACAAUUCAACAUUAA